GAGUUUGAUCAUGGCUCAGAUUGAACGCUGGCGGCAGGCCUAACACAUGCAAGUCGAGCGGGGACUUCGGUCCUAGCGGCGAACGGGUGAGGAAUGCUUGGGAAUCUGCCUGGUAGUGGGGGAUAACGUUCCGAAAGGAACGCUAAUACCGCAUACGUCCUACGGGAGAAAGGGGGGGAUCUUCGGACCUCUCGCUAUCAGAUGAGCCCAAGCCGGAUUAGCUAGUUGGUGGGGUAAUGGCCCACCAAGGCGACGAUCCGUAGCUGGUCUGAGAGGAUGAUCAGCCACACUGGAACUGAGACACGGUCCAGACUCCUACGGGAGGCAGCAGUGGGGAAUAUUGGACAAUGGGCGAAAGCCUGAUCCAGCCAUGCCGCGUGUGUGAAGAAGGCCUUCGGGUUGUAAAGCACUUUAAGCGGGGAGGAAGGUUCGCUACUUAAUACGUAGCGGAAUUGACGUUACCCGCAGAAUAAGCACCGGCUAACUCUGUGCCAGCAGCCGCGGUAAUACAGAGGGUGCAAGCGUUAAUCGGAAUUACUGGGCGUAAAGCGCGCGUAGGUGGUUGUGUAAGUUGGAUGUGAAAGCCCCGGGCUUAACCUGGGAACUGCAUUCAAAACUGCACGGCUAGAGUACGGGAGAGGGGGGUAGAAUUCCAGGUGUAGCGGUGAAAUGCGUAGAGAUCUGGAGGAAUACCGAUGGCGAAGGCAGCCCCCUGGCCUGAUACUGACACUGAGGUGCGAAAGCAUGGGGAGCAAACAGGAUUAGAUACCCUGGUAGUCCAUGCCGUAAACGAUGUCGACUAGGUGUUGGGGAACUUGAUUCCUUAGUGCCGCAGCUAACGCAUUAAGUCGACCGCCUGGGGAGUACGGCCGCAAGGUUA
rnacentral:rRNA from 1 species